CCUACGGGAGGCAGCAGUGGGGAAUAUUGCACAAUGGGGGGAACCCUGAUGCAGCAACGCCGCGUGGGUGAAGAAGUACUCCGGUAUGUAAAGCUCUGUCAGCAGGGAAGAAAAUGACGGUACCUGACCAAGAAGCCCCGGCUAACUACGUGCCAGAAGCCGCGGGAAUACGUAGGGGGCAAGCGCUAUCCGGAUUUUCUGGGUGUAUAGAGAGCGUAGACGGGGUGACAAGUCUGGAGUGAAAGGCCGUGGCUCAACCGCGGGACUGGUGUUGACACUGUGUUGCUGGUGUGCGGGAGAGGCAGACGGUAUUCCGAGGGGAGCGGUGGAAUGCGUAGAUAUUAGGAGGGACAGCAGUGGCGAAGGCGGCCUGCUGGACAGCAACUGACGGUGAGGCGCGAAAGCGUGGGGAGCAAACAGGAUUAGAUACCCGUGUAGUC
rnacentral:rRNA from 1 species